CGGCAAGAGCUCAAAUUUGAAAUCUGGCCUUCGGGUCCGAAUUGUAAUUUGGAGAGGAUGCUUCGAAUAUAGCCUGGGUUUAAGUUCCUUGGAACAGGAAGCCAAAGAGGGUGAGAGUCCCGUCUUGGACCGCGGUAGGGCUCGUGUAAAACUCCUUCGAC
rnacentral:rRNA from 1 species